rnacentral:sRNA from 1 species
UCCAGGAGAGUUACCGUGGAGCCUUCGUC